rnacentral:lncRNA from 1 species
GCAGGGAGGAGCAGGAAGGUGCGGAGCGGCAAAGGCAGGGUUCCUUCCAGCCCCCGGCGACGCGUGCAGAGAAACAGCCAAGAACAGAGCCCUCAAAGUUUCCAGCACUCUGCUAAAAUUAGCCCCGUCUUGCGUGCUCGGCUCUAUAUUUAAACCAGCGGCCUGUCAGAGAGAGCGCUGUGCCGGCAGCACAUGCCAGCGGGUUUGGGGCCCAGGGUGGCAGGGGGCAGGCAGCUUCCCCGAGCACGAGCAAGCGAUCCGUCCGCACCGCAUCUGUCGCAGAGCGGCUCGGGGCGCAGGGCCACUCCCUCCGGCGGGAUGGAGGAAGAGACCGUGGCAGAGACAGAUGCGCCCACACGCAGACAGGAGAACCGCCCAGGCUUUGCUGUGACUGCCCUGAUGUCAGCACCAGAAGCCCCACACCCACAGUGGGGUGGUUGGUGACACACUCUCCAAUUCUCUCUGUGCUCCUGGAAGUAAUACAGAGUAUGGUUACAGUAGCUGACAGCCAUUGGCCCUGGCUAGAAGCGCAGAACAGUUGUGCUGAGCACUUAACACUGAACGCUUACUCGGCACACUCUGAGGAAGUCGUCGCUGCACCCAUUUCACAGGUGACCGAGGUGACCAAGGUGAGACAGGGCAGGGAACGGGUCCUGAGCUGAGACAGGCAGAGGCAAGAUUCGAACCUGUCUGCUCCAGCUCCAGGGGUACCACCCCUUU